rnacentral:rRNA from 1 species
GGAAUAUUGCACAAUGGGCGCAAGCCUGAUGCAGCCAUGCCGCGUGUAUGAAGAAGGCCUUCGGGUUGUAAAGUACUUUCAGUGGGGAGGAAGGCGAUGAAGUUAAUAACUUCGUCGAUUGACGUUACCCGCAGAAGAAGCACCGGCUAACUCCGUGCCAGCAGCCGCGGUAAUACGGAGGGUGCAAGCGUUAAUCGGAAUUACUGGGCGUAAAGCGCACGCAGGCGGUCUGUCAAGUCGGAUGUGAAAUCCCCGGGCUCAACCUGGGAACUGCAUUCGAAACUGGCAGACUAGAGUCUUGUAGAGGGGGGUAGAAUUCCAGGUGUAGCGGUGAAAUGCGUAGAGAUCUGGAGGAAUACCGGUGGCGAAGGCGGCCCCCUGGACAAAGACUGACGCUCAGGUGCGAAAGCGUGGGGAGCAAACAGGAUUAGAUACCCUAG